rnacentral:rRNA from 1 species
UACAGGGGGUGCGAGCGUUGCUCGGAAUUACUGGGCGUAAAGCGUACGCAGGCUGUCUUGCAAGUCGGGUGUGAAAGCCCGGGGCUCAACCCCGGAAAUGCGCCCGAGACUGCCGGACUUGAAUGCGGGAGAGGAAAGCGGAAUUCCUGGUGUAGAGGUGAAAUUCGUAGAUAUCAGGAGGAACACCUGUGGCGAAAGCGGCUUUCUGGCCCGACAUUGACGCUCAUGUACGAAAGCGCGGGGAGCAAACAGG